GGGUGUCGAAUUAGGGAAGCACGGGAAUUGUGCGACCGGGGUAGUCAACAGAAUUGCUCUGCCCGACAGUUUGUCCUACCCUCUACUCGCAACAACUACAAGUCUAUAACAUAACGGGCAUUGUGUGCAUAGCGCUCCGAGCUUCAGCUUUAACCAAUUUACCAGCGAUGGUGCCUUAUGCAGAGUCCGGCGAGUAGGAUAAGUCUACGAAAGGAUGUGACGAGACCUGGAUGUGACUUGCGAGCUGACCAGGAACUAAGUUGACGCGCCGUUGAUCCGCUAGAUUUGGUUGGAUGCCGGUGGUGAGUUGCCAAACUCAAAGAGUACAUUCUGAAGUCGGAUGGGGUGAAUGGAUUAGGGUGCCCCUCUAGCAGGGGAGAGCAGGGAACUGCCUCGGGAAGGAGGCCACUGGUGAAGCUUAACCACCCUGUAACAACAUAUUAAGAAGUGUACCUGUUGCACACGGUCUUAAUCGUAACACGCAGGAAAUGGCCACAAGAUUAUAUGUUGCGCAUUUGCAGUUACCGCUUGCAGCUCCGUUGGGACGUUGCUGCAAGCUGCUGCGUGGCGGAAAGCUCCGUCCUACUCUCACAUUCCUCACAUUCACGCUGAAGGAAUAGAUUACACCUUGGAUAAAUCCUGCAACGUAUUGAUGCCAGACGUUUUAUCAUAUCCCAGGGAAGAUAUACACGUAUCCGGGCUGAGCCUUGCUUGCGUGUCAGCUUUGUGCGUUGAUUGCGGGGCAGCCUUCUGGCUGGAGUGCCACCGGCCCUCCGCCGAAUCUAUCAUGGUGACCGCCAGGUGGUGAUUUCAGAAAGCUGCCGUUGGUGUUCCUACCUGGCAUGUUGCCUUGGCGCAGCACAGCGAGCAAGAUCUGCUCCUGCCGACCAUGUCCUGUUCCCUGGUUCCAUCCGCUUUAUGCUGACUCUAAACUUCGUCACAGCUACUUUAUGACGGAGGCGCAAUGAU
rnacentral:lncRNA from 1 species